rnacentral:rRNA from 1 species
GUGCCAGCAGCCGCGGUAAUACAGAGGGUGCAAGCGUUAAUCGGAAUUACUGGGCGUAAAGCGUGCGUAGUCGGUUAUCUAAGUCGGGUGUGAAAUCCCCGGGCUCAACCUGGGAAUUGCAUUCGAUACUGGAUAGCUAGAGUUCGGCAGAGGGAAGCGGAAUUUCGGGUGUAGCGGUGAAAUGCGUAGAUAUCCGAAGGAACAUCAGUGGCGAAAGCGGCUUCCUGGACCAGAACUGACGAUCAGGCACGAAAGCGUGGGGAGCAAACAGGAUUAGAUACCCCGGUAGUCC